AGAGUUUGAUCCUGGCUCAGGAUGAACGCUAGCUACAGGCUUAACACAUGCAAGUCGAGGGGAAACGACAUCGAAAGCUUGCUUUUGAUGGGCGUCGACCGGCGCACGGGUGAGUAACGCGUAUCCAACCUGCCCACCACUUGGGGAUAACCUUGCGAAAGUAAGACUAAUACCCAAUGACGUCUCUAGAAGACAUCUGAAAGAGAUUAAAGAUUUAUCGGUGAUGGAUGGGGAUGCGUCUGAUUAGCUUGUUGGCGGGGUAACGGCCCACCAAGGCGACGAUCAGUAGGGGUUCUGAGAGGAAGGUCCCCCACAUUGGAACUGAGACACGGUCCAAACUCCUACGGGAGGCAGCAGUGAGGAAUAUUGGUCAAUGGACGAGAGUCUGAACCAGCCAAGUAGCGUGCAGGAUGACGGCCCUAUGGGUUGUAAACUGCUUUUAUAAGGGAAUAAAGUGAGUCUCGUGAGACUUUUUGCAUGUACCUUAUGAAUAAGGACCGGCUAAUUCCGUGCCAGCAGCCGCGGUAAUACGGAAGGUCCGGGCGUUAUCCGGAUUUAUUGGGUUUAAAGGGAGCGUAGGCCGUCUGUUAAGCGUGUUGUGAAAUGUCGGGGCUCAACCUGGGCAUUGCAGCGCGAACUGGCAGACUUGAGUGUACAGGAAGUAGGCGGAAUUCGUCGUGUAGCGGUGAAAUGCUUAGAUAUGACGAAGAACUCCGAUUGCGAAGGCAGCCUGCUGUAGUGCAACUGACGCUGAAGCUCGAAAGCGUGGGUAUCGAACAGGAUUAGAUACCCUGGUAGUCCACGCGGUAAACGAUGAAUGCUAGGUGUAGGAGGUAUCGACCCCUU
rnacentral:rRNA from 1 species